rnacentral:rRNA from 1 species
AUAGGGGAGCCGGAGGGAAACCGAGUCUUAACCGGGCGUUAAGUUGCAGGGUAUAGACCCGAAACCCGGUGAUCUAGCCAUGGGCAGGUUGAAGGUUGGGUAACACUAACUGGAGGACCGAACCGACUAAUGUUGAAAAAUUAGCGGAUGACCUGUGGCUGGGGGUGAAAGGCCAAUCAAACCGGGAGAUAGCUGGUUCUCCCCGAAAGCUAUUUAGGUAGCGCCUCGUGAAUUCAUCUCCGGGGGUAGAGCACUGUUUCGGCUAGGGGGCCAUCCCGGCUUACCAACCCGAUGCAAACUGCGAAUACCGGAGAAUGUUAUCACGGGAGACACACGGCGGGUGCUAACGUCCGUCGUGAAGAGGGAAACAACCCAGACCGCCAGCUAAGGUCCCAAAGUCAUGGUUAAGUGGGAAACGAUGUGGGAAGGCCCAGACAGCCAGGAUGUUGGCUUAGAAGCAGCCAUCAUUUAAAGAAAGCGUAAUAGCUCACUGGUCGAGUCGGCCUGCGCGGAAGAUGUAACGGGGCUAAACCAUGCACCGAAGCUGCGGCAGCGAACGUAUCACCCAAGACAACUUUACGGAGUUGACGAUUGACGGAGCGAAGCGACGUCAAAGCGUUCAUUAAAGUCGAGUUGGCUUAGGGAUACGUUCGUUGGGUAGGGGAGCGUUCUGUAAGCCUGUGAAGGUGUGUCGUGAGGCAUGCUGGAGGUAUCAGAAGUGCGAAUGCUGACAUAAGUAACGAUAAAGCGGGUGAAAAGCCCGCUCGCCGGAAGACCAAGGGUUCCUGUCCAACGUUAAUCGGGGCAGGGUGAGUCGACCCCUAAGGCGAGGCCGAAAGGCGUAGUCGAUGGGAAACGGGUUAAUAUUCCCGUACUUGGUGUUACUGCGAAGGGGGGACGGAGAAGGCUAUGUUGGCCGGGCGACGGUUGUCCCGGUUUAAGCGUGUAGGUGUGUGUUCCAGGUAAAUCCGGUUCACUUUAACACUGAGGCGUGACGACGAGGCACUACGGUGCUGAAGCAACAAAUGCCCUGCUUCCAGGAAAAGCCUCUAAGCAUCAGGUAACACGAAAUCGUACCCCAAACCGACACAGGUGGUCAGGUAGAGAAUACCAAGGCGCUUGAGAGAACUCGGGUGAAGGAACUAGGCAAAAUGGUGCCGUAACUUCGGGAGAAGGCACGCUGACACGUAGGUGAAGUGAUUUACUCAUGGAGCUGAAGUCAGUCGAAGAUACCAGCUGGCUGCAACUGUUUAUUAAAAACACAGCACUGUGCAAACACGAAAGUGGACGUAUACGGUGUGACGCCUGCCCGGUGCCGGAAGGUUAAUUGAUGGGGUCAGCGCAAGCGAAGCUCCUGAUCGAAGCCCCGGUAAACGGCGGCCGUAACUAUAACGGUCCUAAGGUAGCGAAAUUCCUUGUCGGGUAAGUUCCGACCUGCACGAAUGGCGUAAUGAUGGCCAGGCUGUCUCCACCCGAGACUCAGUGAAAUUGAACUCGCUGUGAAGAUGCAGUGUACCCGCGGCAAGACGGAAAGACCCCGUGAACCUUUACUAUAGCUUGACACUGAACAUUGAGCCUUGAUGUGUAGGAUAGGUGGGAGGCUUUGAAGUGUGGACGCCAGUCUGCAUGGAGCCGACCUUGAAAUACCACCCUUUAAUGUUUGAUGUUCUAACGUGGACCCGUAAUCCGGGUUGCGGACAGUGUCUGGUGGGUAGUUUGACUGGGGCGGUCUCCUCCUAAAGAGUAACGGAGGAGCACGAAGGUUGGCUAAUCCUGGUCGGACAUCAGGAGGUUAGUGCAAUGGCAUAAGCCAGCUUGACUGCGAGCGUGACGGCGCGAGCAGGUGCGAAAGCAGGUCAUAGUGAUCCGGUGGUUCUGAAUGGAAGGGCCAUCGCUCAACGGAUAAAAGGUACUCCGGGGAUAACAGGCUGAUACCGCCCAAGAGUUCAUAUCGACGGCGGUGUUUGGCACCUCGAUGUCGGCUCAUCACAUCCUGGGGCUGAAGUAGGUCCCAAGGGUAUGGCUGUUCGCCAUUUAAAGUGGUACGCGAGCUGGGUUUAGAACGUCGUGAGACAGUUCGGUCCCUAUCUGCCGUGGGCGCUGGAGAACUGAGGGGGGCUGCUCCUAGUACGAGAGGACCGGAGUGGACGCAUCACUGGUGUUCGGGUUGUCAUGCCAAUGGCACUGCCCGGUAGCUAAAUGCGGAAGAGAUAAGUGCUGAAAGCAUCUAAGCACGAAACUUGCCCCGAGAUGAGUUCU